CUUUCUUCUUGGCAAGUUAUAUGUGAGCUUUUGUUACAGCUUUAUUCUAAAAUAAUCCUCCAAUACUUGUGUUUCUUUGGGUAGCUUGCAGCACAAUAACAUCGGGCCAGCAGGAGGAACGGAGCUGGCCAGAGCCCUGAUGGCAUGUGAACUGUUAGAAGAGAUAAGUUUAUCUGAAAACAACCUUGGGGAAGGAGGUAUCCGUGCCCUGUCCGAGGGGCUGCCGCGUUUUGAGCACCUCCGGAAGAUUGAGUUGAGACUCUGUGGAAUCACUGAUGAUGCUUCAAAAUUACUCUCUCGUGGCUUCCAGCAAUGCCCUGCUGUGGAGGAGAUCAUGUGAGUGUGGGAAUGGGUGGGAAUGGAGAUCACAGGUAUCUCAGGCAUUAAGUAAAAGCCAGAACUUAUUGCCCUCAGUUGGGCUUGGCUGACUCACCGGCUGGGAUUUCUUGUCUGUCUUAGAUUGUCUUGGAACGCCCUUGGUGAUGGAGGAGCCCAAGUGUUGGCCAGCAUCCUCCCAGGGAUGGAAACGCUGAAGAUGUU
rnacentral:lncRNA from 1 species